rnacentral:lncRNA from 1 species
UUUACUAAUUAGAAGGUGAGGGGUUAUGGUUGGAGUCAUUAUUAACUUCUUUCAUGGAAUCAUAGAUAUUUCAUAAUUUCACCAGUAUGUACUAUUCUAUUUAUUUUGUUCCAUUCUAUUUGGGUUUAGGGUUUAUAUUUGGAUUUAUGGUUUAUAUUUGGGUUUAGGUUCCCUGAUUAGAGUUUAGGGUUUAGUAUUUUAGGGGAUGGGGUGGGGUUGGGAUAAAGUUUAGGGUUCACUGAUUAGAGUUGAGGGUUUAGUAUUGCAAUUACAUUUUCUCUAUUUCUAUUAUAUAUGACUCAUGUAGAAUGGUAAUGUAUUUUACUGGCAUUUUGAAAUUUGAGUUUAGUUUAUGGAAAAUUGGGGUUAAACACUGGUUAAGGUUUAGGUUUUGAUAUUUGGGUUCAUAUUUGGGUUAACGUUUAGUGAUUAGAGUAUAGGGUUUAGGGUUUAUUAUUUAGAAGGUGAGGAGGUAUGGUUAGGAUCAAUAUUAACCUCUUCCAUGAAAUAGUAGACAUUUCAUAUUUUCACCAAUAUGUACUAUGUUAUUUAUUUUGUUUCAUUCUAAUUGGGUUUAGGGUUUAUGUUUCAGUUUAGGGUUUAUAUUUACGUAAGGGUUUAGUUAUUCGGGUUUAGGGUUUAGCAUUUAGAAGGUGACGGGGUAUGUUUGAGGUCAACAUUAACUUCUUCAAUGCAAUUAUAGACAUUUCAUAAUUUCUUCAAUAUGUAUUAUGUUAUUU